GUGAUCAAAUUCCUCAUAAACCCUAACUCUGCAAUUUCCAAUCAAAAACCGGAAUUGGGUUUUGAUGGCUGCUGUUCCUGACGAUAUGAAUGAGAGUGAGAAUAUCAGCGUCUCUAAUUCUAAUGAUAGCGAUUCUAUUUCUGAUCUUUUGUCCAGUGUUGACUUGAAUCCUCUGGCUGAUGUGUUCGAUCCCUUUUCGGACUCAUCAUUAGAUAGCAACGAUCAUCCGUUCGAAUUUCCGCCACUUUGGUGGAUGCGUCCAAGUUUUCCUGAGAUUAACGGGUUUCUUCAUAAUCGUAUGAUGAGGUGUAGAUUCCAUCAAAAUAAGUAUAAUCGGGGGAGAAGACAGUCGAAUGGAAGAAAUUUCAAAGCUCAAAGAGAAGACAGGAUUAAGAGAACUAUAUAUGUUUCGGACAUUGAUCAUAAUGUCACCAAAGAUCGACUUGUGGCACUAUUUAGCACCUAUGGACAAGUUCUGGACUGUCGAGUUUGUGGUGAUCCACAUUCACGUCUCCGCUUUGCAUUUCUGGAAUUUGCUGAUAAGAAUUCUGCAAGAUCAGCUCUUAAUCUUAGUGGCAUGAUGAUGGGAUUCUCUCAAAUAACGGUCUUGCCUUCAAAAACGGCAAUUCUUCCUGUAAAUCCAACUUUUCUUCCCAAAUCAGAUGAUGAGAAGGAGAUAUGUGCAAGGACAGUCUAUUGUACAAAUAUUGACAAAAAGGUUUCUCGAGAUGAAGUCAAGAACUUUUUUGAAGCAAGAUGUGGCGAGGUGUCUCACAUCAAGCUUUCGGGGGACCAUGUUCAUUCACGAAUUGCUUUUGUCGAAUUUGUUUCGGCAGAGAGUGCGAUUAUGGCAUUGGAUUGCUCUGGGCAGACGCUUGGAAGCCAAAAGAUCAGGGUGAGUCCUUCCAAGACACCUGUGAAGGGCCGAGUGGCUCGCUCUCCCUCAACCAACUAAUCAUAUACCUGUAGCAUAUGCACCCAUGCAUCCAUGAGGAACCUUAUGUUUGACCAUGAUAUCAACAUUGAGACUCGGUCGAAAGUGGUGGAGCCGAACUGCACUGCUAGACCAGCCUUUCUCCCCUCAAUUAGUGGACGACCCAAGGAACAGCCUACAUUGACAGACGUCAAUCACAGUGCGUUUCCAGUUAACCUGUAGCCUGAUCGUCGACUCAUCGGUCUUCUCAAAGCUCGCCUCCAAUGACUCAAUUGGUACUUCGAUAGUUACAGUAUGUCAAUAAGUCCAAAUAUUACUAUAAAAUAUAAAUUCAAGCAGUUUCAGCAAGUGCAUAGCACCUAUAACUUGAAACAAAUGGAAAGAUUAGAUUGAUAUUAUGUGUAAAAACCCCUGCAGAAUCA